rnacentral:rRNA from 1 species
GUCUACGGCCAUAGCACCCUGAACACGCCUGAUCUUGUCUGAUCUCACAAGCUAAGCAGGGAUUGGCCUGGUUAGUACUUAGGUGAGAGACUGCCUGGGAAUACUGGGUGCUGUAGGCU